rnacentral:rRNA from 1 species
UUAAACUAGAAUAUCUAAAUUUUUAAUAUCCCGAAGUAAGAAGAGCUAAUUAUUUUAGUUUGUUAGAAUGUAAAUAACUUAUGUUGUUGCAUAAAUAUAAAAAUAAAAUUUAUUAGGGGUGAAAUGCUAUUCAAUUCUUAUAGAUAACUGGAUGAAGCCUAAAUAUAUUUAGUAUAAUGUUUACAAAUGUAUAGUGCUAAGAUUUUACAUAGUGAAUAUAUUGAGAAUAACCAUUCAUAGAAUUUAUUAAUAUAAUACCUGUACAUAUAUAUAUAAAAUAAUUAAUGUUCAUUUUUAUUUCCCUUAUAGGUUUUUACUAUUAAAAAUAUAUAAAUUAGUCAACAAUGUUUAAAUAAGUACACAUUUAAAAAAAAUUAAAGGAACUCGGCAAUUUUUUUUUUCAACUGUUUAUCAAAAACAUAGCUACUUGUUUAAUCAUAACUAGUUACAUCUGCCCAGUGAAUUCUUUUAACGGCCGCAGUACACUGACUGUGCAAAGGUAGCAUAAUAAAUUGGCUUUUAAUUGAAGUCUGGUAUGAAUGAAUAAAUGGAAAAAAGCUGUCUUUAAUUUUUUAUUAAGAACUUACUCAGAAAGUGCAAAUUCUUUCAAUCAAUCUUAAAAGACGAGAAGACCCUAAAAAUUUUUUACUAAAAAGAGUAAUCUACUAUCUAAGUUUUUGUUGGGGCAACAAAUUAACAAAAAAUAAUCUAAUUUAUUUUCUUUUUUUAGAACGAGUUUUACUAAUAAAAGCUAAAUUACUUUAGGGAUAACAGCAUAAUUUUAUAAUUAAGAUUGUGACCUCGAUGUUGGAUUAGGGUCCUAUUAAAUUAGACAUUUAAUGGCUAGGUUCUGUUCGAACUUUUUAUCCCU